rnacentral:rRNA from 2 species
UAAUACAUGCAAGUCGAGCGGACCGACGGGAGCUUGCUCCCUUAGGUCAGCGGCGGACGGGUGAGUAACACGUGGGUAACCUGCCUGUAAGACUGGGAUAACUCCGGGAAACCGGGGCUAAUACCGGAUGCUUGAUUGAACCGCAUGGUUCAAUCAUAAAAGGUGGCUUUUAGCUACCACUUGCAGAUGGACCCGCGGCGCAUUAGCUAGUUGGUGAGGUAACGGCUCACCAAGGCGACGAUGCGUAGCCGACCUGAGAGGGUGAUCGGCCACACUGGGACUGAGACACGGCCCAGACUCCUACGGGAGGCAGCAGUAGGGAAUCUUCCGCAAUGGACGAAAGUCUGACGGAGCAACGCCGCGUGAGUGAUGAAGGUUUUCGGAUCGUAAAACUCUGUUGUUAGGGAAGAACAAGUACCGUUCGAAUAGGGCGGCACCUUGACGGUACCUAACCAGAAAGCCACGGCUAACUACGUGCCAGCAGCCGCGGUAAUACGUAGGUGGCAAGCGUUGUCCGGAAUUAUUGGGCGUAAAGCGCGCGCAGGCGGUUUCUUAAGUCUGAUGUGAAAGCCCCCGGCUCAACCGGGGAGGGUCAUUGGAAACUGGGGAACUUGAGUGCAGAAGAGGAGAGUGGAAUUCCACGUGUAGCGGUGAAAUGCGUAGAGAUGUGGAGGAACACCAGUGGCGAA